CUACCAAGAACCUCUUCACAUACAGAGUGUCUCAGGUAAGUCUAACUUUGGAGAUUCUCUACCAGUCAUCUUGGGUGACCUGAGGUAGCCACAUGAAAUGGCCAGACAACCAUUAAGUGAGCUCCACUGCCUUGGGUCCUUGUAAGUUUUCUAAGCAUGAAGGUGGACCAAACAGUCACAAGCUACUCACCCGAUGGCAGCACAAAAAUAAUAAGUCAUAGAAAACAAGAUGUUUUCAUUGAGAAGAGCUGAAAUUGGGAGUUCAUUUUAUUUUUGGCUAAACAUCAUAACAACACCUGGCAUUAAAUCACAAAUUCUAAAAUAAAUGAAAGCAUGAAGUAAUUAUUCAA
rnacentral:lncRNA from 1 species